rnacentral:rRNA from 1 species
AGAGUUUGAUCCUGGCUCAGGAUGAACGCUGGCGGCGUGCCUAAUACAUGCAAGUCGAGCGAGCUUGCCUAGAUGAUUUUAGUGCUUGCACUAAAUGAAACUAGAUACAAGCGAGCGGCGGACGGGUGAGUAACACGUGGGCAACCUGCCCAAAAGAGGGGGAUAACACUUGGAAACAGGUGCUAAUACCGCAUAACCAUAGUUACCGCAUGGUAACUAUGUAAAAGGUGGCUAUGCUACCGCUUUUGGAUGGGCCCGCGGCGCAUUAGCUAGUUGGUGAGGUAAAGGCUUACCAAGGCAAUGAUGCGUAGCCGAACUGAGAGGUUGAUCGGCCACAUUGGGACUGAGACACGGCCCAAACUCCUACGGGAGGCAGCAGUAGGGAAUCUUCCACAAUGGGCGAAAGCCUGAUGGAGCAACGCCGCGUGGGUGAAGAAGGUCUUCGGAUCGUAAAACCCUGUUGUUAGAAAAGAAAGUGCGUGAGAGUAACUGUUCACGUUUCGACGGUAUCUAACCAGAAAGCCACGGCUAACUACGUGCCAGCAGCCGCGGUAAUACGUAGGUGGCAAGCGUUAUCCGGAUUUAUUGGGCGUAAAGGGAACGCAGGCGGUCUUUUAAGUCUGAUGUGAAAGCCUUCGGCUUAACCGGAGUAGUGCAUUGGAAACUGGGAGACUUGAGUGCAGAAGAGGAGAGUGGAACUCCAUGUGUAGCGGUGAAAUGCGUAGAUAUAUGGAAGAACACCAGUGGCGAAAGCGGCUCUCUGGUCUGUAACUGACGCUGAGGUUCGAAAGCGUGGGUAGCAAACAGGAUUAGAUACCCUGGUAGUCCACGCCGUAAACGAUGAAUGCUAAGUGUUGGAGGGUUUCCGCCCUUCAGUGCUGCAGCUAACGCAAUAAGCAUUCCGCCUGGGGAGUACGACCGCAAGGUUGAAACUCAAAGGAAUUGACGGGGGCCCGCACAAGCGGUGGAGCAUGUGGUUUAAUUCGAAGCAACGCGAAGAACCUUACCAGGUCUUGACAUCUUCUGACAAUCCUAGAGAUAGGACUUUCCCUUCGGGGACAGAAUGACAGGUGGUGCAUGGUUGUCGUCAGCUCGUGUUGUGAGAUGUUGGGUUAAGUCCCGCAACGAGCGCAACCCUUAUUGUUAGUUGCCAGCAUUAAGUUGGGCACUCUAGCAAGACUGCCGGUGACAAACCGGAGGAAGGUGGGGAUGACGUCAAAUCAUCAUGCCCCUUAUGACCUGGGCUACACACGUGCUACAAUGGACGGUACAACGAGAAGCGAACCUGCGAAGGCAAGCGGAUCUCUUAAAGCUGUUCUCAGUUCGGACUGUAGGCUGCAACUCGCCUACACGAAGCUGGAAUCGCUAGUAAUCGCGGAUCAGCACGCCGCGGUGAAUACGUUCCCGGGCCUUGUACACACCGCCCGUCA